UACGAGGGGGGCGAGCGUUGCCCGGAAUUAUUGGGCGUAAAGAGCUCGUAGGUGGCCUGUCGCGUCGGCUGUGAAAACUCGGGGCUCAACUCCGAGCUUGCAGUCGAUACGGGCAGGCUAGAGUUCGGCAGGGGAGACUGGAAUUCCUGGUGUAGCGGUGAAAUGCGCAGAUAUCAGGAGGAACACCGGUGGCGAAGGCGGGUCUCUGGGCCGAUACUGACACUGAGGAGCGAAAGCGUGGGGAGCGAACAGG
rnacentral:rRNA from 1 species